rnacentral:rRNA from 1 species
AUUGAACGCUGGCGGCAGGCCUAACACAUGCAAGUCGAACGAGUGGCGUACGGGUGAUUAAUGUCUGGGAAACUGCCUGAUGGAGGGUGAUAACUACUGGAAACGGUAUCUAAUACCGCAUACCAUCGGAUGUGCCCAGCUGGGAUUAGCUAGUAGGUGGGGUAACGGCUACCCUAGGCGACGAUCCCUAGCUGGUCUGCGAGGAUGACCAGCCAAACUGGAACUGAGAAACGGUCCAGACUCCGACGGGAGGCAGCAGUGGGGAAUAUUGCAAAAUGGGCGAAAGCCUGAUGCAGCCAUGACGCGUGUAUGAAGAAGGCCUUCGGGUUGUAAAGUACUUUCAGCGGGGAGGCGUUACCCGCAGAAGAAGCACCGGCUAACUCCGUGCCAGCAGCCGCGGUAAUUC